UGCAGUCACAUCACGUUAAAACACCGGCUAUCGUACGAUCAGAAAAGCUAAGCAACGUCGAUCCUGAUCAGUACCUAGAUGAGUGACCGCUUGGGAAUACCAGGUUCUGUAAG